GUUAAUAACGACUGAUUUGCUGUUUCAAGUCACUUCACAUGAAAUCUUUCCCAGAGUCGAUACGCUGACUCUUCAAACAAACAUCCAAGGUGAGUUCAGACACGGUUCCAUGAACAGAAGACCGGAUUGUUAAAGUGCAUCUGUUUUUUUUUUUUUUUUAACAUAUUUGUUUGGCGUCUUCUCCUCCUGCAGAUGUCUGAGUGUGACUACAAAACCAUUGUUUUCUUCGACCUGGAGACCACUGGAUUAGGUAACACUGACUCACUGUCUUUAGGUCUUUACAAAUGUAAUGUAAUGAUUGCAACUCACCUAUCAAAGAGAUCAUUUCAGUUUCUCUUUUUGGUUUGUUGUAAAUCGUUCAUUUCAUUGAGAUUCAUUGUUAAAACUUUGAACUAUUUGCAGGAAAAUGUCAAAGACAGAGAGUCAUUAUCGCGGGUGAAAGUCAAAAUAAAAGUCAGAGACCUUUAUAGUGAACAUGAGGGGUCAGAGCUCUAUAACAGCUUCAAACAUAACAUUUUAAAGACCUGAAAACCAUUUUUCUGAUAGUCGGUGAAUUUACCGACAAAUGUUAAAAUUGUUCAUCGUAAUCCCAAAUUUUUAGGUGGAGUUUAAAUUUUUCAUGAAACCAAAUUUCUCCUUUCAGACACAUUUUCCUUGUCUCACUGAAUCGGCUUUAGUGAUUUAAAAGAAAGAAGCAUGAAAGGAAAAAAUGAAGCUAUUUUAAUGGAUCAAUUUUUGUUUAAGAGUUUUUAAAUCACUUUGAGAAUAAUCAGCCAACAAACUGAGUGUCUGUCUUCAUAAGAGUGUCCUGAGUUUCCUUCUUUGGUUACUGAUAAAAAGUUACUGCAUAACAAUUAAACUGAAGUCUCCAUUUGUUGGCAGGGAAAUCUUAAAAUAAGGAGGAACAGACUGUGUUUCCUCCAGUUUGCAUUUUACGUUUGUCUGGUUAGAUAAGAGGAGGAGCUGGUUUUACUCUUUGAGUCAUUACAGCAAACCAGGGAAGAUAAGACCUCAGUGCCAGAGCACAAACUAAUCCUUUGAGUGACACGGGAUGAUUCAGAUACAUGACAGGAACAGAUGAAAGUUUCAUUAUUCAAACCUCAAUGUCAUAAUUCUCUUCGUUAUUAAGGAUUAUAAACUAAAGCGGAGGAAAUAUUCAUAAACUCUAAAGACUAUAAUGUUAUUUUUGUUUCGUAUUUAAGUCUAAACAAGCGACUUUUCCUUCAGAAACAUCGCCAACACGAUGAUUUUAAAUCUCUUUCAAAUCUUUGAUUUCAGACACAGAUGAGUGUGAAAUCCUCCAGCUAUCUGCAGUCUGUAGGGAUGAGGUCUUCAACGUCUACAUCCUCCCUAAGGGUGAGAUUGGUUGGGG